UCACAUUUUCGACAGUGCACAAUCAAAUCCUCUGCGGUAAACGUAUAUAAAAAGACAAAAAAAUCACUAUUUCAUCAAUAGUUCCUAUCCGUCGUCUUAGACGUUUAUACUAAUUUAUUUUCUGGUUUAUUCCCUUUGCUACUCAAAAUGUGUGGACCUUGUGGUGGAUGCUGCGGCGGAUGCUGCGGCGGUUGCUGCGGCUGUUGCUGCCCCUGCAUUACAAUCUACACGUGCUGUACGAAGAUCUGCUAACCCGUCGCGGCGAGGGGUCGUCGCAAGGCGCUCCACGACCGCUCGACUUCGUUAUGUACUUAAUAUAUAGUGCCGUUACGUGAAAUAAAUGUAUUAAGAGUAAAAUUGUCUUUAUUGCUGUUA